rnacentral:rRNA from 1 species
UACGUAGGGUGCAGGCGUUAAUCGGAAUUACUGGGCGUAAAGCGUGCGCAGGCGGUCUUUUAAGUCAGAUGUGAAAUCCCCGGGCUUAACCUGGGAACUGCGUCUGAAACUGGAAGGCUUGAGUGUGGCAGAGGGGGGUGGAAUUCCACGUGUAGCAGUGAAAUGCGUAGAGAUGUGGAGGAACACCGAUGGCGAAGGCAGCCCCCUGGGCUAACACUGACGCUCAUGCACGAAAGCGUGGGGAGCAAACAGG